UGCAUAUUGUUAAAAAACCUUUUAAGUAUUUUUCAUUUUAAAAGAUAAAUAGCUAAGCAUUUAGAACAAAUUGAAAUUUUAAGAUGUUUUAUGCGACAAAAGAAAUAGGAGCAGGCCCCCAAGGCCUAGCUCAAGUGGCAAAAGGUGGAGGAUUUGUGGCUUAGGUCGCAGGUUCAAGCCCUACACCAUGCAAAGCGAAGCCCGGUAUUUAAGUGGAGAAGGGUAGAGGGGCGGGCCCAUUAUCCACAGAGUUUAGAAGGCUGUGAUUGAUCCAAAGGGCGGGUCACAGACGGAUUUCUCGGUUAUCAAAAAAAAAGAAAUAGGAGCAGGCUACCGUGGUUGAAAAUUUUUACCCCGAUGACAUUGAUAUUGAAAUAUGAAAUUUGAAAAAGAUUGACUUCUAACAUUUACAGAUAACACCAGGUUAGUUAA
rnacentral:lncRNA from 1 species